GACGAACGCUGGCGGCGUGCCUAACACAUGCAAGUCGAGCGGAGACAUGGAGGAGCUUGCUCCCGAAUGUUUUAGCGGCGGACGGGUGAGUAACGCGUGAGCAACCUUUCUCUCAGUGGGGAAUAGCACAGGGAAACCUGUACUAAUACCGCAUGAGACCACAAUGCCGCAUGGCAUAGGGGUCAAAGAUUUAUUGCUGAGAGGUGGGCUCGCGUCCGAUUAGAUAGUUGGUGAGGUAACGGCUCACCAAGUCGACGAUCGGUAGCCGACCUGAGAGGGUGAUCGGCCACAUUGGGACUGAGACACGGCCCAA
rnacentral:rRNA from 1 species